CCGUAUACGNCNUACGGGGGAAAAAUUUAUUGCUAUUAGAUGAGCCUAUAUUAGAUUAGUUAGUUGGUGAGGUAAAGGCUUACCAAGACAAUGAUCUAUAGCUGAUCUGAGAGGAUGAUAAGCCACACUGGAACUGAGAUACGGUCCAGACUCCUACGGGAGGCAGCAGUGGGGAAUAUUGGACAAUGGGCGAAAGCCUGAUCCAGCUAUGCCGCAUGAGUGAAGAAGGCCUUCGGGUUGUAAAGCUCUUUUAGUGAGGAAGAUAAUGACGGUACUCACAGAAGAAGUCCUGGCUAACUCCGUGCCAGCAACCGCGGUAAUACGGAGAGGGCUAGCGUUAUUCGGAAUUAUUGGGCGUAAAGGGCGCGUAGGCGGAUUAGUAAGUUAAAAGUGAAAUCCCAAGGCUCAACCUUGGAAUUGCUUUUAAAACUGCUAAUCUAGAGAUUGAAAGAGGAUAGAGGAAUUCCUAGUGUAGAGGUGAAAUUCGUAAAUAUUAGGAGGAACACCAGUGGCGAAGGCGUCUAUCUGGUACAAAUCUGACGCUGA
rnacentral:rRNA from 2 species